rnacentral:lncRNA from 1 species
UGCCAGAGAGACAGAACCAUUCACUCCCUGGAAAGGGGGCUGAAACCAGGGAGCCAAGUGGUCUAGCUCAGUUGAUCCCACCCCCAUGGCGCCCAGCAAGAAUUCUUCCAACUUUUAAAUGGAACACAAGUGUCCUUUUAAGGCUAGCAACAUGUGGUAAGAUACUCUCUCACUAUGCUGGGCAGCAGCAGGAGCCUCAGCUCACAG